rfam:TPA: Bos taurus chromosome 5, whole genome shotgun sequence.
UCCCUGGUAGUCUAGUGGUUAGGAUUUGGCAUUUUCACUGCUGUGGCCCAGAUUCAGUCCCUGGUCAGGCAA